UGGGAAGUAAAAGUCGUAACAAGGUUUCCGUAGGUGAACCUGCGGAAGGAUCAUUAUUGAUAUUUUGCAUACACACUGAUUUGGAUUUUAAAACUAACCCAACGUUAAGUUCAACUAAAACAAAAACAUAAAACUUUCAACAACGGAUCUCUUGGUUCUCGCAUCGAUGAAGAACGCAGCGAAAUGCGAUACGUAGUAUGACUUGCAGACGUGAAUCAUCGAAUCUUUGAACGCACAUUGCGCCUUGGGGUAUUCCCCAAGGCAUGCCUGUUUGAGCGUGAUGUCUUCUCACCAAUCUUCGCGGUGGCGUUGCAUUCACAAAAUUACAGCUUGCACGAAAAAAAUCUACGCUUUUUUUUUCGUUUUGUUGUCGCCUCAAAUCAGGUAGGACUACCCGCUGAACUUAAGCAUAUCAAUAAGCGGAGGAA
rnacentral:misc_RNA from 1 species